rnacentral:rRNA from 1 species
UACGGGGGGGGCAAGCGUUGUUCGGAAUUACUGGGCGUAAAGGGCUCGUAGGCGGCCAACUAAGUCAGACGUGAAAUCCCUCGGCUUAACCGGGGAACUGCGUCUGAUACUGGAUGGCUCGAGUGUGGGAGAGGGAUGCGGAAUUCCAGGUGUAGCGGUGAAAUGCGUAGAUAUCUGGAGGAAUACCUAUGGCGAAAGCAGGUAUCUGGGCCAUCACUGACGCUGAGCUGCGAAAGCUAGGGGAGCAAACGGG